UACGAAGGGGGCUAGCGUUGCUCGGAAUCACUGGGCGUAAAGGGCGCGUAGGCGGCCAUUCAAGUCAGGGGUGAAAGCCUGUGGCUCAACCACAGAAUUGCCUUUGGUACUGUUUGGCUAGAGACCGGAAGAGGUAAGUGGAACUGCGAGUGUAGAGGUGAAAUUCGUAGAUAUUCGCAAGAACACCAGUGGCGAAGGCGGCUUACUGGUCCGGUUCUGACGCUGAGGCGCGAAAGCGUGGGGAGCAAACAGG
rnacentral:rRNA from 1 species